rnacentral:rRNA from 1 species
GACGAACCGUGCGAACGUUGUUCGGAAUUACUGGGCGUAAAGGGCGCGUAGGCGGCCUUCUAAGUCGAACGUGAAAUCCCCGGGCUCAACCCGGGAACUGCGUCCGAUACUGGAAGGCUUGAAUCCGGGAGAGGGAUGUGGAAUUCCAGGUGUAGCGGUGAAAUGCGUAGAUAUGCGGAGGAACACCGAUGGCGAAGGCAAUCCCCUGGGCCUGCACUGACGCUCAUGCACGAAAGCGUGGGGAGCAAACAGG